rnacentral:rRNA from 1 species
GGCACCACAAGAACGCGUGGAGCAUGUGGCUUAAUUUGACUCAACGCGGGAAAUCUUACCGGGUCCGGACACACUGAGGAUUGACAGGCGAUAUAACGAAUCUUAUUUUUUAAUAAGAUAUUCGUUAUUCAAAUAUGCUAGUCCUUUCAUGAUUAUGUGGUAGGUGGUGCAUGGCCGUUCUUAGUUCGUGGAGUGAUCUGUCUGCUUAAUUGCGUUUCACUAAGGUCCCAUAUACUAAAGGCAUGUCGACCUCUCUUUAGGAUUAAUUAAGGCUUGGACCCCUCUUUUAUUAAGAGCGAGUGUCUAAUGUCUUAUUAUCCUUUAUAUAAGAUAGUGUCGUAUGCUGUUGGGAUCUGAAAGCAACGAACGUGACCGCAACGUCUUGUUGCCUUACCUAUACUGGUAUUAUACUUAAUACCGUAUAACUCAAGGCUUUACUUAUAAAACUAGACGGACCGCUGUUUCUUUUCCUUAAACCAGAGGAAGGUUGCGGCAAUAACAGGUCUGUGAUGCCCUUAGAUGUUCCGGGCUGCACACGUGCUACAAUGAUCAGUACAGUGAGCAUCUCAAUUUAUCUUUAUAUAGAAUUCAUUCUAUAUAAGAACCGUAUUUUCAAGCAUCUGUCGUUAUUACAAUGAUCAGUAUGCGCGGUAACGCCUGUUUCGAGAGUAAAUGGGUAAUCCAUUGGAAGUAAUGAUUUCUCUAUUUUAUAAUAAAAUGCACGGUUUAUAUACGGCAUUCAUUCCCGAGGCGCCUUUGUAGUGUCUAUGUGCGAAUGUAAUGUUAUGGCUUUGUUAUUAACGGCUAUUCCUUAAUAGUUUUGUUAUUAACGGCUAUAGUUAUCGUAUGUGCGAUUGUCAAUUCGUGGUGGGGACAGACCAUUGUUAACUG